rnacentral:rRNA from 1 species
GAUGAACGCUGGCGGCGUGCCUAAUACAUGCAAGUCGAGCGAACGGACGAGAAGCUUGCUUCUCUGAUGUUAGCGGCGGACGGGUGAGUAACACGUGGAUAACCUACCUAUAAGACUGGGAUAACUUCGGGAAACCGGAGCUAAUACCGGAUAAUAUUUUGAACCGCAUGGUUCAAAAGUGAAAGACGGUCUUGCUGUCACUUAUAGAUGGAUCCGCGCUGCUUUAGCUAGUUGGUAAGGUAACGGCUUACCAAGGCAACGAUGCAUAGCCGACCUGAGAGAGUGAUCGGCCACACGGGAACUGAGACACGGUCCAGACUCCUACGGGAGGCAGCAGUAGGGAAUCUUCCGCAAUGGGGGAAAGCCUGACGGAGCAACGCCGCGUGAGUGAUGAAGGUCUUCGGAUCGGAAAACUCUGUUAUUAGGGAAGAACAUAUGUGUAAGUAACUGUGCACAUCUUGACGGUACCUAAUCAGAAAGCCACGGCUAACUACGUG